rnacentral:rRNA from 1 species
AUAGCCUAGGAGAUACACCUGUACCCAUGCCGAACACAGAAGUUAAGCCCUAGAACGCCGGAAGUAGUUGGGGGUUGCCCCCUGUGAGA